CAGGCCCGUUUGACCUAGGGUCUAGUUCCAAAAGGAAGAACAAAGUAAACGCAACGGUUGGUACUUAAAAAGAGAGUGAAAAGAAAAGAUAUAAGGCAACACUAUCAAAAUCCUUAUCUAUCCACGUAUACGAAAGAGUUAGAGGAAACAUAUUUGUACAAUAGAAAUAUUGCGAUAGAUUUUUAUAUCACAGUUCUAUCU